rnacentral:rRNA from 1 species
CCUACGGGUGGCAGCAGUCGAGAAUCAUUCACAAUGGGGGAAACCCUGAUGGUGCGACGCCGCGUGGGGGAAUGAAGGUCUUCGGAUUGUAAACCCCUGUUAUGUGGGAGCAAAUUAACAAGAUAGUACCACAAGACGAAGAGACGGCUAACUCUGGGCCAGGCGCCGCGGUAAUACAGAGGUCUCAAGCGUUGUUCGGAAUCACUGGGCGUAAAGCGUGCGUAGGCUGUUGCGUAAGUCGUGUGUGAAAGGCGCGGGCUCAACCCGCGGACGGCACAUGAUACUGCGAGACUAGAGUAAAGGAGGGGGAGGCGGAAUUCUUGGUGUAGCAGUGAAAUGCGUAGAUAUCGAGAGGAACACUCGUGGCGAAGGCGGGUUCCUGGACAUUAACUGACGCUGAGGCACGAAGGCCAGGGGAGCGAAAGGGAUUAGAUACCCCUGUAGUC